CAAAUGGCACGGAGAGGGUAGGAAGUGGCAUUCGCACUUGUGCCACUCAACACAUGCUCUCUGCCCGAGGAUGCAUGAUUGGGUCCAUACAGCUUUGUGCCUUUUUCUGGUAAGAACUGAAGUCAAGCAGAGAGAAAACAUCUUAUUGGUAGAUGCAGAAUUUGGACAGUUCUAUGUGCACAUUUUGUGCAUGAUGCUGUUCACCAGUUAUCUCUCUUCAUCCGGUCUUUGUUCGGUGGGGGGAGAAGUCACAUCUCUGCAGUGAAAGGUAUGUUCUUGAGCACUAACGCAGGCCAAGAAAAGUACAUAUAAUGCAUGCAGGCUGGGAGAAACAUUUGUCUGGGAAUUCAUGAUGGGAAAGGUAGUGGCGAAGGUAGCAAGUGUCAUUCCCUUUGCUGGCAAUGGCACCUCUCGGAAGCUAAAGUAGCCAUCGUGUCGAUGAUCGAACUCUUCUAAUCGGUUGUUUAUGUCGUUCGACACGCACGCCCGGUAGGUGUUCGUCCGAUCGUCUCUGUGAAAAGGUAUGAAUCCGUAUUUUCAAAUAAUUCAUAUAUUGAGAUAUGAAUUCUUUAAUCUUAUAUCUUAUUAAAGUCAUAAUUCUUUAAUAUUUAAGGUUUUUAUCUUUUAUUUAUUAGUUGGAUAUCUCUAAAAUUGAUAUUUGAUGGUCGAUUCACAUCGAUAUGCACUGUUGAUAUAAUUAAUAAGGCGACAGUACGCAAGGAAAGGUUGGCUAUCGAGUCUCUUUAUGUAGUCCUUCAGAUCACGUGAAUGGAUAUGAUGCCAACACAAAGCUCAUUCUGUGAGCAAUAAAUGCUCCGACGCCCUCUCGAGGGACAAAAUAAUAGAAGACAUUACAUCAAACACUUGAUCGACACAUUGAGAAAUAGUGUUGUUUAGAUUUUGAUGUUACAUUUG